CCCUACGGGACGCAGCAGUGGGGAAUAUUGGGCAAUGGACGCAAGUCUGACCCAGCAACGCCGCGUGAAGGAAGAAGGCUUUCGGGUUGUAAACUUCUUUUAAGGGGGAAGAGCAGAAGACGGUACCCCUUGAAUAAGCCACGGCUAACUACGUGCCAGCAGCCGCGGUAAUACGUAGGUGGCAAGCGUUGUCCGGAUUUACUGGGUGUAAAGGGCGUGCAACCGGGCCGACAAGUCAGAUGUGAAAACCACGGGCUCAACCUGUGGCCUGCAUUUGAAACUGUUUUUCUUGAGUACUGGAGAGG
rnacentral:rRNA from 1 species